rnacentral:tRNA from 3 species
GGGCCCGUAGUCCAGCGGUUAAGAUGCGAGCCUUACACGCUUGAGACCGGAGUUCGACUCUCCGCGGGCCCA